AGGUUUGAGGACCAGAGGAGGUUCAACUGACCAGCAGAGCCCGGUGUAUGAAAACUUUCCCUCUGCGGAGCUGAUUUACCAGAACGCCAAACCUGUCAGCAAGAACAAGAAGUAGAUCCAAGAGUGAUCCUGCAGUUUUUGGUCCUGAUAUUCUGAGCAGCUCAGUUCUGCCUGAGAUAGAAGACGAUAACCAGGGCUGGACAGGGACAGAAAAAUGGCCGACACCAGCCCCCCCCGGAUGAAGAUGAUGAAGACUAUGAAUGGAGACAAACUGUCUUUUUGAUGUAUCUGUAUUGUCUAAUAAUCUAAACCUACAGCCUCCUCCUGGUUCUGUUAUUCUAUAGAAGCACAGAAACCAGAUGUUGCUUCUUCUCCUUCACCUCAUGAACAACUUUGAAGAAGAUCCUGAUGUUUGGACGGGAGGAAUAGAAGAGACACCAGAUCAUUGAUUCUGACAGACGGUCACUGAGUGACUGUUUUUAUCACGUCAGGCUAAACAAAUGAGCAGGAAGAAUAAAGCAGUCUGUGCAGUUUACUCUCUCUCUCCUGCAAUUCUGUCUCUCUACCUUGUUUUUUUUACCGAUGCGACAAAAAGCUUCAUUAUGAAGCCCAAAGAGUCUUCAUUGUUUUUUAUUCCAAG